UUUUAAUGAUGAAAACAACAGACCUGAUUUGAAACCAAUUUGAGAAUGUAUUUCUACUUCUGAAAAAA
rfam:Plasmodium knowlesi strain H chromosome 13, complete genome